rnacentral:lncRNA from 1 species
CAGCAGAUAAAAUUUAAGAGAUUUUCUGACAGAAAAAUGAGAUAUUUGCGAAUAGCCAGCAACAACAAAGUGAGCAGUUUCUCCUGGAGGGCCACAUGAACACCAAGUUUAAGCAAUGAGCUAGUAUCAUUGCGUUCACUUGCAUCAUGGCUACUUCACAGCAAUGCUGGAAAAAAAGCAAGGAGACAGGCCCAGUAGUGGGAAAGACAUGCCAGCUAAGAUGGAGGAAAAAAGAUGGCAUGGCUCUGCUCCUCCUGUCGAUACCUGUUCCUCUCGGCAAGCAGGGUGUUGCUAAAGAAGACAAUAGAGGACAGGUCCUCUCUCCAAUGACUUGGUACUCCAGUAGACAAGAUUGAUGGGUCUUAGUAAUCCUCUUCCUACCAAAUGAACUGGGGGCAGUCCUGCCAAACACCUUGUUCCAAAAUAAUUAUAACAUACGGAUUUCAUGAGCAGAUCAGAGUGGAGUGUUACUGUCAGUCAACCAACCUGCUGACCACCUAUUGGAGUGCCCCUUCUUUUGCUAUUGUCGGUACUAGCCUUAUUAAGAGAUGCAUCUGGGAGUACCUAAUAAUGAUUGAAAGGCUUUGUCAGGCAGUUCUGAAGAUGCCACCACUAUAAUUAAUUUAAAUAACAUACUUACAAAUAAAUGGAUACUAAUUAUCCAACUGAGCACUGAAUUGGAACUGAUGAUGGGUGUAAAAAUCCCACUCUUCCUUAAUCAAUUCUCUGUGAUAUGGGAAAUUGAUUUCUAUCUCAAUUUUGUGAGCCAAUUGCUGUUAGUGAAGCAAAAACUCCAUCAUUAAAGCAAUCAAAAAAUUAAUUUGUCAACUGGAACCAAAACAAAAAUAAGUGCUUACUUGCAGAGGUUACAUUAACAUAAUUAUGUCAUAAUCAUCCAAUGAGAUGCAAUAUGCCCGCAUGUAAGCUCAAACAUAUUGCAUCAUGUAUGUUGAACAAGUAGUGGUGAGUAAAGUUCUGGCAUCAUCUUUCACCUGCAUAUGCAUUACUUUUGCCGCAAUGUAUAAGUUAUGCUACUCACAACCUCCGUACACACAAAAAAAUAAUUAAAAAAGAACUCUAGUGAUCAGUGAAAUCCGUAUAAAUCUGCAAAGCAAUUGUUUCUAUGCCUCAAACAAGUUCCAGAUGGUACAUACAAUUGUGAUGCUCAAUUGUCAUGAUGAAACUUAAACAGUAUCCUUUAACAGAACUUUUGCUAAAAACCGAUUCAUGAAGCAACUAGCAUUUCUUAGCAGAAAGAGUUCAGCAGCUA